UACGUAGGGUGCAAGCGUUGUCCGGAAUUACUGGGCGUAAAGAGCUCGUAGGCGGUUUUGUCGCGUCGUCUGUGAAAUCCCCGCAGCUCAACUGCGGGCUUGCAGGCGAUACGGGCAGACUUGAGUACUGCAGGGGAGACUGGAAUUCCUGGUGUAGCGGUGAAAAUGCGCAGAUAUCAGGAGGAACACCGGUGGCGAAGGCGGGUCUCUGGGCAGUAACUGACGCUGAGGAGCGAAAGCGUGGGGGAGCGAACAGG
rnacentral:rRNA from 1 species